UAGGGAAUUUUCGGCAUGGGGGAAACCCUGACCGAGCAACGCCGCGUGAGUGAAGAAGGCCUUCGGGUUGUAAAGCUCUGUUGUAAGGGAAGAAGAGAUCAUAGAGGGAAUGCUAUGAUUGUGACGGUACCUUACCAGAAAGCCACGGCUAACUACGUGCCAGCAGCCGCGGUAAUACGUAGGUGGCGAGCGUUAUCCGGAAUUAUUGGGCGUAAAGGGUGCGUAGGCGGCACAUUAAGUCUAAGGUUAAAGUUCGAGGCUCAACUUCGGAUUGCCUUANAAACUGGUGAGCUAGAGUGCAGGAGANGGCAAUGGAAUUCCAUGUGUAGCGGUAAAAUGCGUAGAUAUAUGGAGGAACACCAGUGGCGAAGGCGGUUGCCUGGCCUGUAACUGACGCUGAGGCACGAAAGCGUGGGGAGCAAAUAGGAUUAGAUACCCUAGUAGUCCACGCUGUAAACGAUGAUUACUAAGUGUUGGAGAAAUUCAGUGCUGCAGUUAACGCAAUAAGUAAUCCGCCUGGGGAGUAUGCACGCAAGUGUGAAACUCAAAGGAAUUGACGGGGGCCCGCACAAGCGGUGGAGUAUGUGGUUUAAUUCGAAGCAACGCGAAGAACCUUACCAGGUCUUGACAUACCGGGCAAAGCUCUAGAGAUAGAGAAAUAGUUAUGCCGGAUACAGGUGGUGCAUGGUUGUCGUCAGCUCGUGUCGUGAGAUGUUGGGUUAAGUCCCGCAACGAGCGCAACCCUUGUCUUUAGUUACCAUCAUUCAGUUGGGGACUCUAAAGAGACUGCCGGUGACAAACCGGAGGAAGGUGGGGAUGACGUCAAAUCAUCAUGCCCCUUAUGACCUGGGCUACACACGUACUACAAUGGCGCAUACAACGGGAAGCGAAGUGGUGACAUGGAGCAAAUCUCAAAAAGUGCGUCUCAGUUCAGAUUGAAGUCUGCAACUCGACUUCAUGAAGUCGGAAUCGCUAGUAAUCGCGGAUCAGAAUGCCGCGGGAAUACUU
rnacentral:rRNA from 1 species